AUUGAACGCUGGCGGCAGGCCUAACACAUGCAAGUCGAACGAGUGGCGGACGGGUGAGUAAUGUCUGGGAAACUGCCCGAUGGAGGGGGAUAACUACUGGAAACGGUAGCUAAUACCGCCUACCAUCGGAUGUGCCCAGAUGGGAUUAGCUAGUAGGUGGGGUAACGGCUCACCUAGGCGACGAUCCCUAGCUGGUCUGAGAGGAUGACCAGCCAAACUGGAACGGAAAAACGGUCCAAACUCCUACGGGGGGCAGCAGUGGGGAAUAUUGGACAAUGGGGGCAAGCCUGAUGCAGCCCGGCCGGGUAUAAGGAAAAGGCCUUCGGGUUUUAAAGUACUUUAAGCGAGGAGGCGUUACUCGCAGAAGAAGCACCGGCUAACUCCGUGCCAGCCGCCGCGGUAAUUC
rnacentral:rRNA from 1 species